rnacentral:rRNA from 2 species
UUCGCAAUGCCCGAAAGGGUGACGAAGCGACGCCGCGUGGGUGAGGAAGGCCUUCGGGUUGCAAAGCCCUGUCAGGAGUUAAGAAAUGUAAGUGCGCUAAUAUCGCAUUUAUUUGACGAAGGCUCCAAAGGAAGUCACGGCUAACUCUGUGCCAGCAGCCGCGGUAAUACAGAGGUGGCAAGCGUUGUUCGGAAUUAUUGGGCGUAAAGAGCACGUAGGUGGGUUUGCAAGUCAGAUGUGAAAGCCUCCUGUUCAACGGGAGAAUUGCAUCUGAAACUGCAGAUCUUGAGUGUAGGAGGGGAGAAUGGAACUUCUGGUGGAGCGGUGAAAUGCGUAGAUAUCAGAAGGAACGCCGGCGGCGAAAGCGAUUCUCUGGCCUAUUACUGACACUCAGUGUGCGAAAGCUAGGGGAGCAAACGGGAUUAGAUACCCCGGUAGUCCUAGCCGUAAACGAUGGGCACUAAGUAGAGGGGUUUU